rnacentral:rRNA from 1 species
UACGUAGGGGGCGAGCGUUGUCCGGAAUUAUUGGGCGUAAAGGGCUCGUAGGCGGUCUGUCGCGUCGGGAGUGAAAACUCAGGGCUUAACCCUGAGCCUGCUUCCGAUACGGGCAGACUAGAGGUAUGCAGGGGAGAACGGAAUUCCUGGUGUAGCGGUGGAAUGCGCAGAUAUCAGGAGGAACACCGGUGGCGAAGGCGGUUCUCUGGGCAUUACCUGACGCUGAGGAGCGAAAGCGUGGGGAGCGAACAGG